rfam:Modestobacter sp. VKM Ac-2676 NODE_161_length_5258, whole genome shotgun sequence.
GCCGGUCCUCGGUAGUGGCCCCCGGGACGCAGCGAGCCUGAACGCAGGACCCCGCACCAGCGCCCCCCGAGGCUUCGAUCGAAGACCGGU